rnacentral:rRNA from 1 species
GAUGAACGCUGGCGGCGUGCCUAAUACAUGCAAGUCGAGCGAACAGACGAGGAGCUUGCUCCUCUGACGUUAGCGGCGGACGGGUGAGUAACACGUGGAUAACCUACCUAUAAGACUGGGAUAACUUCGGGAAACCGGAGCUAAUACCGGAUAAUAUAUUGAACCGCAUGGUUCAAUAGUGAAAGACGGUUUUGCUGUCACUUAUAGAUGGAUCCGCGCCGCAUUAGCUAGUUGGUAAGGUAACGGCUUACCAAGGCAACGAUGCGUAGCCGACCUGAGAGGGUGAUCGGCCACACUGGGACUGAGACACGGCCCAGACUCCUACGGGAGGCAGCAGUAGGGAAUCUUCGGCAAUGGACGAAAGUCUGACCGAGCAACGCCGCGUGAGUGAAGAAGGUUUUCGGAUCGUAAAGCUCUGUUGUAAGUCAAGAACGUGUGUGAGAGUGGAAAGUUCACACAGUGACGGUAGCUUACCAGAAAGGGACGGCUAACUACGUG